rnacentral:rRNA from 1 species
UUCCGGUUGAUCCUGCCGGACCCGACUGCUAUUUGGGUGAGGAUAAGCCAUGCGAGUUGGAUGGGAUACCUAAACUUCCCAUAGCAAACUGCUUAGUAACACAUGAUCAACUUGCCCUAUGGAGAAAAAUAACCUCGGGAAACUGAGGAUAAUGUUUCAUAGUUGAAUAGGCUUGGAAAAGUUUUUCAAUGAAAGGAAUAAGAUAAAUGGUUCUUAUUUGCCAUAGGAUAGGAUCGUGGUCGAUUAUGGUAGUUGGUGAGAUAACGGCUCACCAAGCCGAUAAUCGAUAGGGGCCGUGAGAGCGGGAGCCCCAAGAUGGGUACUGAGACAGCGACCCAGGCCUUACGAGGCGCAGCAGGCGCGAGACCUCCGCAAUACACGAAAGUGUGACGGGGUUACCCAAAGUGUUCUCUUAAGAACUGUGGCAGGUGAGUAAUGUCCCCUGCUAGAAAGGAGAGGGCAAGGCUGGUGCCAGCCGCCGCGGUAAAACCAGCUCUUCAAGUGGUCGGGAUAAUUAUUGGGCUUAAAGUGUCCGUAGCCGGUUUAGUAAGUUCCUGGUAAAAUCGGGUAGCUUAACUAUCUGCAUGCUAGGAAUACUGCUAUACUAGAGGGCGGGAGAGGUCUGAGGUACUACAGGGGUAGGGGUGAAAUCUUAUAAUCCUUGUAGGACCACCAGUGGCGAAGGCGUCAGACUGGAACGCGCCUGACGGUGAGGGACGAAAGCCAGGGGAGCGAACCGGAUUAGAUACGUCGGUGCUAGAAUAAUAAAAUAACUAACACCAUGCUAAAAACCCGGGUAGUCCUGGCCGUAAACGAUGCAUACUAGGUGAUGGUACGGCCAUGAGCCGUAUCAGUGCCGUAGGGAAACCGUUAAGUGUGCCGCCUGGGAAGUACGGUCGCAAGGCUAAAACUUAAAGGAAUUGGCGGGGGAGCACCACAAGGGGUGAAGCCUGCGGUUCAAUUGGAUUCAACGCCGGA